rnacentral:misc_RNA from 1 species
GAUGAAGAACGCAGCGAAAUGCGAUAAGUAAUGUGAAUUGCAGAAUUCAGUGAAUCAUCGAAUCUUUGAACGCACCUUGCACCCUUUGGCAUUCCGAAGGGUAUGCUCGUUUGAGUGUCAUUGUACUCUCACACUCUCCGAUCCUAUGGAUUCGGGGAGCGGUGGACUUGGGUGUUGCUGCCUUUCCCUGUGGCUCACCUCAAAUGCGUCAGUGCACCUCUUGGUUGGACAUAGUACGGCGUGAUAAGUGUCUUCGCCGGCACCUCGCAAGAGGGUGGCCGAUCGGGAGCUCUGCGCUUUCAAACCGUCUUCGGACAAUUUCUGACAUCUUGACCUCAAAUCGAGUAGGACUACCCGCUGAACUUAAGCAUAUCAAUAACGGAGGA